rnacentral:rRNA from 1 species
GACCCAGACUCCUACGGGAGGCAGCAGUGAGGAAUAUUGGUCAAUGGCCGCAGGGCUGAACCAGCCAAGUCGCGUGAGGGAUGACGGUCCUAUGGAUUGUAAACCUCUUUUGUCGGGGAGCAAAGAGAGUCACGUGUGGCUCAUUGAGAGUACCCGAAGAAAAAGCAUCGGCUAACUCCGUGCCAGCAGCCGCGGUAAUACGGAGGAUGCGAGCGUUAUCCGGAUUUAUUGGGUUUAAAGGGUGCGUAGGCGGUCCGUUAAGUCAGCGGUAAAAUUGCGGGGCUCAACCCCGUCGAGCCGUUGAAACUGGCAGACUUGAGUUGGCGAGAAGUACGCGGAAUGCGCGGUGUAGCGGUGAAAUGCAUAGAUAUCGCGCAGAACUCCGAUUGCGAAGGCAGCGUACCGGCGCCAGACUGACGCUGAGGCACGAAAGCGUGGGGAUCGAACAGGAUUAGAUACCCCCGUACU